UACGGGGGGGGCAAGCGUUGUUCGGAAUUACUGGGCGUAAAGGACUCGUAGGUGGCCAACUAAGUCAGACGUGAAAUCCCUCGGCUUAACCGGGGAACUGCGUCUGAUACUGGAUGGCUUGAGUUCGGGAGAGGGAUGCGGAAUUCCAGGUGUAGCGGUGAAAUGCGUAGAUAUCUGGAGGAACACCGGUGGCGAAGGCGGCAUCCUGGACCGACACUGACACUGAGGAGCGAAAGCCAGGGGAGCAAACGGG
rnacentral:rRNA from 1 species